rnacentral:rRNA from 1 species
UAGGCUUAAGAAAGAGGACAUUAAGCCAGAAACAGCCACAGCCUACCUUUCCCAAUGCCUUUGGUUGGGGCGACCACGGAGAUAAAACAAACCCCCGCGUGGACCGAGAGACCCCUCUUCGAACCAAGAGUCACCCCUCCAAGCACCAGAAUAUCUGACCACCAAUGACCCGGCCCUGCCGACAAACGAACCGAGUUACCCCAGGGAUAACAGCGCAAUCCCCUUCCAGAGCCCCUAUCGACAAGGGGGUUUACGACCUCGAUGUUGGAUCAGGAUAUCCUAAUGGUGCAGCCGCUAUUAAG